UCAGACGUUUUUUUUUUCCCUUGCUUUGAUUUGUUCAGGUUAUGAUGAAUUCUUUGAAUAUGGUAUUUCCUAUUUGUUUUCUUCCUUUUCCCCACUGCCCUCCCCCUCUAUCUGUGCUCAUGCCUGUCAGUUUUUGUCUAGUAUGUGCUUUGCCUGUGGUUUCUAAUAUUUGUGGGUUUGUCCUUCACAGUGUCUGUGUAUCGAGACACUUUGCACUGUAGGCACACUGAUUUUCCCUCUGGCUGCUGUCAAGGAGUUGUGAAAGUUUCUCUUCUGUGAAUGUGGAAAGGGAACUUGUGAGCCUGCUGACCCUGCAGGGAACCCAAACAAGUGAAAUUUGCAAUAUUAUUCAUCUGUUCUCGUUACUUCUUCAAGAACCAUCCCUGCAGGUUACUGGCAGUAUGUGCUUCAUGGCUUCUUACCCAGAGCCGGAUGCAGAAAGGAAAGUAGUUAACAUCUUCUACUUAGCUCCUUCAGCUUGUUCACAGAGUCCAAAGAUCUUUCUUGCUGCCGCUCAAGGAGAUGACAUUCAGUUUACUGUAAUGCUACAGUAGUGGCUGCUCUAGGAAGGCAUUCAGUUUCCUCAGCAAGGCAGGUGGAUUACUAAGGUACUUUAGCCUGCUCUCGUACAUGUGCUUUGACACCAGGAUACGCUCAGAAGACAGUUUUUGCAUCAGGCACUUCUCUGCGUCUGAAGUUUUCAAUGAAAAGACUGUUACAGGCUUUGGCCUAAGCUCUCUUUGCCAUGUAAAUAAGUAAUGAAAGCCAGGUGGUCCUGGCCAGCACCUGGAUGCACAUGGACUUCCAAAUCACGUCUAUCUUCUUUAUACAGUGAUUCUACUUGAAAUAUAAGUUUAAAUCUCUCUUAAUGCAUCUUACAAAAAUUCUUUUUGCAGCUGCAUGUUGUCAGUAUUGCAGAAGGAAGCUGAGGAAUCAGGACUGCACACAGCUUCUUUCCCAGCACCAGCUAAAGUCUUGAACAUGGAUCCCAUAUGACCUGAGAAGAAACUUUUACACAACAUCCAGCUUUGGCUCCCAGUGUGCAGGAUUUUCCUGUGGAGCAGUACUGCUUGUAAACUAGCAUCUUUAUUAAAAUGAAAUGAGCAAGCUCAAAGGAAAAUUGGUCGUGAUCACAAGGGGUUACUGGAGCAGGGUUAACCUGAUUGCAAUCAAUAGAACAGUGCCUGAGCAAUUCUUGAUCAAUGACCACUUGUGGGCUGUGGUCCAUAAUGGUUUUCAGCUGUGGCCUGCCUCAGUCCACCUUAUAGCUACACCUUAGAGACAGUUGCUUUCUGCUCCUCUCUGUGUUGUGAUGCUUUGCAGCUCAGGAUGUCUGCUCUCUGCUACAUUCAGGUUUGUUUUUACAUUUCUACAUUUAAACUAUGUGGCAAAUUUUUCUUUCCCGAUGGGUGUUUUGUUUGUUUGUUGUCAUCAAGGUUCCCUUCCCUUAAAGUCAGGUGAUAUCAAUACUACCAGAACCUUCUGCCUUCGUUCUGGUGCUUUCACUUCCUCUCCUCUGCUAAUGACUCAGGGGCAUGUUUUCUUGUCAUUGGAUAGAUGGGCAUUCAGAAGGUUUGCCUGGCUUUUGCUAUUAAGAACAUGGUUUUGUAGGCAUGCUUUUUUGUUUGUUUGUUUAAAAAGCAGUUAUUUUUCUUUGAGUACAAAUAGAAGGAAGAGCCUAAGCUUUCAAGAUACUAAAGAUGUUUUGCCACACGGUGAGUUCUGUUGAUUUUCAGGUUACCUGCUGAAAAUGUCAUGGCAUCAAUCUCAGAACAGUGCAGAAGGUGCAGAGAUGCCCGUUGGCUUUGUCUGCUGUCAUUAUUCAUCCUCUGUUACACACACAAGCUUAUUAAAACACAGUGGGUCUGUGAUUGUGUUUGCUGUCUUCCUUUUUGUUUCUGUUCUAUCUGGGCUUUUACCCUUCACCUACCAACGUUCAGUGGCAGCUAGUUGUGUUCUUUUCCUCUCUUGUGCAUGUUUGUUUUAUGACACGUAUGAGCUAACAGAUAGAAGGAAGCCAGGCCAGGGCUGCCCUGCUGGAGAUCAGCUUUUUGCACAGUUCUCUGGUGUGUGCCCCUCACUUCUGGUCAGCAAUAGUGUAGUGAAAGUCAAUAGCAGACAAAUAAGUAGACACGAUGUCAUCCUUGCAGAUAGGGAGGACUUGGAGGCAGCCAGCAGAUCCUGUAUGUGUUUUGAGAAUGUUUCUGGAGACAGAGUUAUGAUCCAAGAAUGUGCAAAUAGCUGCCCAUCCCAGUCUUACGUGCCUGCAAUUAAGGAGAAGUGCUAAACCAUCUCCAGCCUUGAAUAGCAUACCAGAUCUUAAAGGUGCAUCUUGCUCUAUUGAACCAAUGGGGGAUAUUUUUCUUGAGGAGUGAAGAACAAACUACUUGAAUGGAAUCUCUUCCUCAGUUUAUCACUGCCAGAGACUAAAACAGAGCUGGUGGGUGAGACCUGGUAGGCUGCCCAGUGAAAGGCUGCGUGUGUUGCUCCAGGUCCAUGUGGAGAUUCAGGACAAAGGAGCCCACCAGCAAAUGCAGACCCCCAGGGAGGGAAGAUCUCUUUGAGUCAGCCAGGAAGCACGUCGAUGUCUGCUGCCCACUGUUUUCCCACAGACCAGUGUCCUCAGGAAGGGCAAGGUUAGCAGGGCUAUCAGCAGACUGCUUCAGCGUGGAGAUUUUUUUAUGAUUGUGUUAACAUUUCUUUUCCUGUUGUUGUACAGAAAUUAUGACUCUGAGUGUCAGUGUUGAGAUGAAAGAGGAAAUCAUUUUGCUUGGAGCAAAUAUUCAAAGCUAGCUCUUAUGUUCUUCAUUUAAAAAAUACAUUUUCAAAAUCGUUCUGAUGGGCAGCUGUUUACUUUUGGGGAUGUUUGUUCAUUGUUGUUUUUGUAAUCACAGAAUAGUUUGAGGUGGAAGGGACCCCUCAAUGUCAUCUUGUCUAUCUCCCCUGCACCGUACGGGGACACCUACAGAACAGUCAGGUGCUCAGAGCCCCACUCAGCCUGACCUUGAAUGUCUCCAGGAAUGGGACUUCCACCUCCUCUCUGGGCAGCCUGUACCGGUACCUCACCACCCUUAUUGAAAAAAAACUUUGUCCAAUCUAGGUCUCCCCUCUUUUCAUUUGAAACCAUUUCUCCUUGCUCUGGAUCACAACAGAUCCUGACAAAGAAUCUGUGCCCUCCUUUUAGACACUGAAAGGCUACUCUCAGGUCUCCCUGAAGGCUCUCUUCUUGGGGUUAAACAGCCUGAGCUCUUAGCCUGUCCCUUCAGGUAAGGGACAUGUCCCUUGGAUUCUUUCUGGGACCCUCCUCUGUUCCCACUCUAAGAGGUCUAUGUGUCUCCUGUACUCUUCUGUGUCAUUUUGUACUCAGCAACCUACAUACUUAUCACUGUCUUAUCAUCCUGUGUAACUGAAAUCUGAUUCUGAAAAUGUCCAUAAACCCAAUUUUUAAUGAGAUUAUUUUGGGGGAAAAUGGCAGGCAACAUAGGUCUUUCAUGUGAGGAGCGUGUAAUAACUGAAUGAUGUGAGAGGAGAGCCUCUGGCUGGAAGGAGUGGGCUUUCAGGAUGUACCCAUACAAUUUUUUUCUUGAUAGUGCUGUGUCAAAAUAAAAAUCAGUGAUUAAAAGUCUG